GGCUCGCCAUUGCUUUCGUGGUCAAGUUCGAGCCAGCUGUGAACCUGCUGGCACCUGGUCAGCGAUCUACCUACCCCCCGUCCUGUCCCAGAGGGCCCCCUUUUACCAACCACGCCCAAUUGCUUGCAGUUCCUUGAGCUUCCCUGGGCUGUGCUUUGCACCUACUGUUCCCUCUGCCUGAGAUGCCUUUCCUCUACUUCCCCGAGCUAAGCUGAUGAGGGAGCUCGGACCAAGUUGAGGGCAAAGUACAGGCUAACAGUACCACCACCCCUUUUUAAUAAAGUCACCUUUUCGCACCAAAGACGUCCGAGAAUUCUUUCUCGGCCAUCGGCUCCGGACCGCCCCACCAUCACCCCAAGACUUCUCCAAAGUUACUUCCUUGCUCCCUACAGUUGGUUAAAUUGUGCCCCUCCUUCAGUCAAAAAGAGGGUCCACCUCCUAACCCCCAAAACCAGAACCCUGGAACCUGUGUAUGUGGCCUUAUUUUGGAAAUAGGGUCUUUCCAGAUAUACUUAAAUUAAGGCUCUUGAGAUGAGAUCAUCCUGGAUUUAGAGUGGCCCCCAAGGGAUUAUAAAGUAGGCUUUGUCCCACCUGCACUGUCUUUGCCCGAAGGGCCCCGCUUGCCUUCUUUUCUGGACGACCUUGCUGAUCUCUAUGUGACUGUUCUUCUAGAAAAAUACUUGGGGUGGGAGAAUCGGUUAAUCUUAGCAGCCCAGCUGGAAAAUGGUGCCGGGAAAGACUGUAGCUAACUUGGUCAACCCAAAGGAACAAGUGGAUGGUUUGAUGAAGUUUGCGCUUAGGGAACAGCCUUCUUAAGGGGGCGAGGUCCCUCGCCAGCCCUGCCCUCGGCCAAGUGCCCCCGGGGUCCAGCUACUUUUCCGGGAUCUUGCACGAAGCCCUUUGUAUCCAGCAGGCAGGGCUGGAGCAGCCCAUGGGCCGGCCCACCUCUCCCAGCUUUCCGGUGCCCCUCCUCGAGGCCCCCGUUUGCCGUCAGGAGGGACUCAGCCCUCAGAGGCUGGGCCACCUCUGCCCCCCGUGGCUGUGGACCUGUCCCCAGGCAGCCACAGAGAUGGCCGUGCCCCCUACUGCCUCUUGAGUAUGGCAAGAGAGAAAACUCCAGACUGUGGAUUCCGAGAAGCGGAGCCAGCCUCCGGCAGUUCUGGAAGAAGGAGAUGGGGGGUGGGGCUCCCAACUGCCCAGUUCCAAGCAGCGAGGCCUUGGGGGCGUGGCUUCACCCCGUGGAACUAGAGAAAACCUCACCAGCUCUGCUGAUGUCCCGACGCCAGCUUCCUGGUUGCACUGUUGGGCUAAGUUACGCAAGACGUUACUGCGGGGCUCACAGAGGCGCCUGGAACGCGGUACGUGGUCCGAAGGAGCUGGCUCCCGUGUUACGGUUGCCGUGAGGCGUGAUGUAACAACAUAGGGCCCCGGCCAGGAACAGAGGGACCUCCUCGGAAGGAUUAACUGCCCACCUGUCACUGCCUGGCGGCGAAUGACCUUGGGCAAGUCACAAGACGUCCUGGGGUCUGCCGGCCUCCUUUGUAAAAGGGGGUCUCUGGUGUGGACAUCUAGGGGACAGUCUGCCCACCCCUCGUGCGUGCGUUUUCCCGAGACUCCCCCUCCUGGUGCCCACCCCUACCCUCUUUGGGAGAGCUUCUGGCUCUUUCUUUAGCCUUCCCUAAAAAAAGCCUCGUCAGCCGUCCAGACUCCAUGCGCCCCAGUGGGGCCGCGUCCACGGUGUGACCCAGGGCCACCGGCACCAUUUGCAAAAUGAACACGCGGGCCCCUUGGUCAACCACUGAGGCAUCCAACCCAGACCCAGAGCAGUGCGCGUGAGGCUGGAUAUUCCAGAAGCCGAGCUGCGCUGACGCCUCACCCCAGAAUCCCCCGCCCCCACCCAUCUCCAGGGUUCAAGGGCUUGAGCGCAUGUGAUUUAAGAUCACGGGGCGGGGCUGCUAAAACUACGAAUCCUACCCGAGCAGGUCCGGGUGGUCUGGAAACUUCUGGCGACACAGCCACUUCUCGUAUACGCCUACUUGGGACACCGCAAGGGAAUUAUGAAAUUCUGGCCCCGGGUAAAGCCCCACUCUCCCCCUCCCACCGGUCACCUUGGUGUGCAUGGAGUUUCCAGACGCUGCGGGACGGGCAAUACCGCAGCGGAUCGAGUGCAGGAGCCGACGCGAGCGUCUCUCUGCUCCCCAGGCACAAAUGAGAGAGAACUGCAGAGAUGUGAACCAAGGCCCGGCUUCAAUUUGUACGCAUGUUGGAAAGUACAGUGACCUUUAAAGGAAACGCUAUUUCUCUUGAA